rnacentral:rRNA from 1 species
AGAGUUUGAUCCUGGCUCAGGACAAACGUUGGCGGUGCGUCUUAGACAUGCAAGUCGAGCGUGAAAGCCCGCAAGGGUGAGUAAAGCGGCGAACGGGUGAGUAAUACUUGGGUAACGUCCCUCCGAGAUUGGGAUAACGCGCCGAAAGGCGUGCUAAUACCGAAUAUGACCACGGCUUCUACGGAAGUUGGGGUAAAAGA